rnacentral:rRNA from 1 species
UACAGAGGUCUCAAGCGUUGUUCGGAUUCAUUGGCGUAAAGGGUGUGUAGGUGGCGCGCUAAGUCGGGUGUGAAAUUUCGGAGCUUAACUCCGAAACUGCAUUCGAUACUGGCGUGCUUGAGGACUGGAGAGGAGACUGGAAUUUACGGUGUAGCAGUGAAAUUCGUAGAUAUUCGGAAGAACACCAGUGGCGAAGGGCGGCU